AUGUUUGUGCGAAUAUAGUAAUAACCCAGGUGGAGAAUCCCCGCAUUUCUGCGUUUUUCCCCAGUUCCUCAGGAGGGCCCUGGAAAUAUAUUUUUAUUCUCUGCCCAAAUUGUUUAGGAUGUGUCGUGAUUUCACUGUAACCUGUACAAACCUACCAGAUUACACUUCCUAUUCAUGUGAUCAUGGUGUUUGAAUAAACUGACCGUACAAGUUGAAUUAUACACAAAGAGCUCAGCAUCUCAGAAUUUGGAGAUAACCAUUGCAACUCAGGAAUAGAUGUGACUGCUGUAAGAGCUUAAAAUCUAGGGACCAUUACAAUAAGUGUUCCCCUGAUAACUUGUGCUCGAAGAGCGAAUUCUCAGCAUUUCAUAUUGUAGUUAGUACGUAUUACUGAGGCGUUAUAAUAUGUUUUUGUUUCUGGCAUACUUCACCCAAAAUGCUGUCCUCAGCAUCCAUUCACUUAGUUGCAUGUCUGUUACGUGUUCUAUGGAAACUCAUUUCAACAUUUUCUUUAGACUUUGACUUUUUUUCAAAUCUUGGGCACUUGAAAAACUGAGUUUAGAUUUUUCUUAGAAAUCAUUAAUUGAAUGAUAAAAUAAACAAUUUGUACUUUAUUAAAUUCAUGGGAGUCUGUGUUGAACUUUACAUUUUUUUGAGAACUACAGCAAAUGUUACUUCUGUUCCUUAAGAAAAAUUCAGUGUAUAUAUAACCAAAUUAUUUUCUUGAAAAAGAAAAGCUUAAUGUUCUAGUUGUAAUGUUCAAAUUUGUCUCUUAAUAUUUUUCUAGAUUUUCAAUGUUAUUUUUAAUAUUUAUAAAUGACUCUAGCCUAUUUACUUGAUCAUGGCCUUAUUAUAGUAACUUAUUUCUGAAUUUUGAGUUGCUACAUGAACUUGAAAAUAACUUGUUUCUUUAAUUAAAAAAAAAAUUUCUACUUUCUUUAAUUUAGACUGGCCUGUCAUUUAUUCAAGAAUUCUGAGUUUGGUUUGACAGCCUCAGCUUGAAGUCAUUUUAUUAUCCCCAUUCUACUCAAUCUACCCUACGUUACAAGCAACUGACUAUUGUGCUUUGAUUACUAUAAAUUAGUUUUGUGUGUCUUUGAACUUUGUAUAAAGGGAAUAUUCUUUUGCUUCUGGUUUCUUUUACUGAGCAUAGUGUUUUUGAGGUUCAUCUGUGUUCCAUGUUUCAGUAGUUUUGUUCUCUUUUAUUGCUGAGUAGUUUAAUGUGAAUAUACUAUAUUUUAUUUAGUCUUGACAGUUUCCAGUUGGUGCUAUUAUGAAUAAAGUUGCUGUGAGUAGUCACUUACACGUUCAUCUCUCAUGGGAAAAUAUUUAAGGGUGGAAUUGCUGAUCAGCUUCUUAGGAACUGCCAAAUAUUUCAAAGCAUUUGUACUAUUUAUACUCCCAUGAGCAAGGUAUAAGAUUUCUUUGCUCUAUGUCCUUGUCAACGUAUGGUAUUGUCAGUCUUGUUAAUGUUAAGCCAUUCUGUUAAGUAUGUAGAUGUGCGUUGUGUUUUUAAAAUUAGCAUUUCCCUGAAAAACUGCUGAUGUUGUGUAACUUUGUAUACACUUUUUAGGCAUUCAGAUACCUACUUUUGUGAAGUACUGUUGCAUUUCCCUUUCUCACCAUAAUUGCUAUUUCACUGGGUUGUAUGGUUUCAUUGCCAUCUGAUGUAAAACUCACUGAUAAACUUACUGUAACCUGUAUUAUAAAAAUGAAUUUUAGUAUGCGUAGUAUUUAAAUUUUGAAAAACCAGUUGUUAGGAAUCUGGAAUUGUUCAUAUCAUGGAUUUUUGCUGCUUGCUAAAUAUCAGCUGAGAUUGAUGGAAAUUAUUUAUUAAAUAACUGAACUUUUAUUAUGGUAUCUUAUUUGGCCCAUUUGGGUGGCAGACCCAAGGAUUUGAUAGAAAAUCAAAACCUUUGUUAGUGUUUUUUAUUACUUUUAUUUUCAUUCCCAAACAGGGUCAUGUGAAAAUUUUUUUUUUAUUGUGAACUUUAACAUAUAUACAUAACAGUGAUAACUUUCAAAGUACGAUUUCACGAGUAGUUAGCAAAUUUCAAAGAAUGUCAGUGGUCACAGUUCCACAACUUCAGCCAUUUCUGUUGUAAAAUAUACAGAAAAGUGUCAUCUCUCAAUGUGCAGCUCAACAAGCAGUAAUAUAGGGUAUUACAAAAAUUAUUAUGGAUUGCAGUUCCACAAUUUCAGUUCUUCCCUUAUGCAAUGCAAGGCAUAUACAGAAAGGUGAAGACCUUCAACGCACAAUUCAAUGAGCAGUUACAGAGCAAAUCCCAAAGGAUUUAGUUUAGGCUGUAGUUGCACCAUGUCAUUUGCCUCCUUUCAGCCAUUCCAAUACUCCAGCAUCCAAAAAUAUAGUUUCAGUAUUCAUAGUCCUUUGUUAAAUCUUAGCUUGCUCGUUGCUACCCCUUCCUCUCAGUCUUUCUCCCUCUUCAGGGGUGUUUAGGCAGUGAGCACCUAACUUUUUCAUAAUGAAAGGGGGUGUUGACAGUAGGGGAAGGGGGCCACAUCUAAUAGUUGAUCUUAAAAGAGUGUUGCCUCUGGUUUUAGGACUUGUCUGGUAUAGGAGCACCCUAGCGGAUUUACAUUUCUCAUAAACAUUCAGAGAAAAUUUUGUUUUAUCCUUGUAAUAACAUUGUCCACUUAAUUGUUCAAUUAAUUGAACUUGUAUUCUGAUAUGAAAUGUCAUUUGUUGAUUAGUUGAAAUCAUAUUACAUCACAAAGCAGGAUGACCUUGAGGAUAUUUUGUUGAGUAUGUAAAAGGGUUUGUUGUUUUUGUGGGCAUUUUCUCAAGUUUCCUUCGAAAAUGAUUACCUUUGAAUUUUGGGACUUGAGUUUUCUGAUAUAUCAUUGGCUUAAUCACACCCUAUUCUGUUCUUUUGUUUUAAAGGUGUAUUCUUUUUUACUUAAAGGGAAUAUAGUAAACAACAAUGGAAUAAAAUACUUCAGUGAAGAUUAUCCCGCAUAUUUUCUUCUAUUGUGAAUUGCCUGCAAUAGCAUUUGGUUUACUUAUUGCUGUCCCAGCCAGUAUUGUGGUCUGUGCCUUUGUCCCAAAGGCAGAGGGUCAAAAUAAGUUGUGAACACUGUUCUGUAGAUGACCUACCUUGUCGGUAAUGUUUGAUAACGUGGAAAUUGCCCCCCCCCCCCCCAUCUACGCCUUGCAUACUUCAGAACAUGUUUCUUGAAAGGGAACCCCUGCUAUGUAAUAAUGGGCAUACUAUUCAAAUACGAUUUCUUAUGGCUCCACAUCAGGACUCGGCUUCAGAGGAAAUUGCUUUUAGGUAGAUUUAUAGUAAGGCAUUUUGAAGACAUGAGUUAUUAAAAUCUUGUAUCUUGAGUUUUCAAAAUUUGUAUUGUAAUUUUAUUUAAAAAUUACCUAAAAUCGCUCAGCCCCUGCUCUAGUGAAUAUUAUGUUUUCUAUAUUCCAUGUCUUUUUUUUUCAUUUCUAAGAUAAUUGAGGAGCUGCCGCGCCCCUCUGGCGGGAAUGAACUCAAGCUGAUGACUGACAGCCUUCAAUGGGCAGUACAGCAGUGCAAUCCUGCGUGUCCCUCCCCUUUUCUGGGAGGGACAUAAAGUAGGGCAUGUUCCCUCCCCAUUUCCAGUCAAACAAUAGCUGUAUGUAACCCAUCCUUCCCCACCCCCUCAAGCUAUUUUCGAAUGGGUCAGCUCCCAAGCUGGGACUCCCUAGGGAGGUUGGGGAGGAUGCAUACAUUCCUUUCUUAUAAUGUACUACUUUUAUUUAUAUAAUUUUUUGCAUAAUACACAUCAUAUGUAAUAUAUUAAUGAUAGUAGACUUGUGUACUCUGUGGAAAGGGUACCUUCACUCUUCAAGGCGGGGAGACUUGUUAGGUGAGAAUUGAGGAAAGCAUUUAGCAAAGUAGACUCUUUUAAGAGAAAGUUUUUAAAAUUAGCAGAUUCAAAAAAUUUUCGAGUGUUGAUUCUAAUACCAGAAGAUAAAACUUGGCUGAAUUUUACAUCAGUUGAUGUUCUUUGAGGAAAUAUGGGGCAUUUUUGAAGUAAACGCACAAUUCUUUUACUGAGUGGAAACAAUCCAGUGAGGUAAAUGGUAUCCUUUUUAGCUUGUUGCUGUCAACAUUUCUUGACAAAAGUUUUUGAAAGAAAAAGAUGUUAACACUUCUGUUUUGGGUUAUUAAAAUUUGCAGUUUUUAAAGGCUAUAUUUGAUACUUUAUUCCUAGGUUGAUAAAGAGAACAUGGAUGAAGCUAACUGAAAUUUGGUUUCCAGUGUAACUCAGAAGAGAGCAGGAAUGUUGGAAUCAUGUUUCUUUUCAGCGUAAUAGGAACCAAGGAGCAUCAGCGUCACCCGGAGCUUCUUUGAAAAGGAAUCUCAGGAUAUAGUAGAUCUACUGAAUCAAAAUCUGCAUUUAACAAGGUCCCAAGGAUUUACUGGUUGAAUCAUUUUGUGGAAGAAAUGCUUUUAAUGAUAACAGGAGAAACAAUCCAGAAAGGAAGUAUUUUAUUUGUGAAUUUAUUACUCCAUAUAAACAGUUUAUCGUUAUAUGAGAAAUCAAAACAGUUUACAUUUAAAAAUAUGCCUCAGGUGCAUUUUUUGUCAUUAAAAUUUCUGGAAUAGUGCAAAUUUAAGUUUCUAUUUUCCUUUUUUUUUAAAAAGUAAAUUUUUGAAGUAUGAUAUUAGCCAUCCCUUGGUGCAGUGGUGUUCUUGCUAGUUAAUGUCGGAAGGUAUUAUGUUAGGAGCCCACAAAUUCAGCUGAACAAUACCCUUUUCAACUCCCUGUAACUGGUAGUCAUUAGAGGGAUUUUUAUUAUUUCUGUGCAGCUCUCAAUUUUGGGUCAGUCCUUUAGGACUCUGGUAAGGAACUCAUAAUAGAAAUUUGUCAUUGUUGUGAGAGAAAUCACAUGACUUUUGCCCCAAGGAAAUUAAUUAAAGGGGGUACAUGAGUAUCCAUGUGAGGACUGUGGAGAAUCCAGGUGUAUCUUUUAUCUGGCUAUAAAGUUGUUUAGAGCGAUGUGGCUGACAACUGUAAUCCUGGAAGGUACCUAAAUGUAAGAUUACUAGCACGCCUGGCACAAAACUGGUAAAAGUUGAGCUCUAGACCGCUCUACCCCAAGUUAUCACAUAUUCUCACAUUUUUCUUUCCUAAUUCUCCUUCAGUCCAACCAACUUGGCACACUUUUACAAGUUCACCUUUUUGUUCACCUUUCUUCCUCCAGUCUCAUACUUGCUGAUUUCCUAUCUCUCAAAGUAUACUCCUAAAGAAAUGGUUAGGCUCUCUCUCGGGUUUAUAUCUUUAUCAUCGCUCCUUGUCUAAUGUGUGUUAUCCUUUAGCACAUUCCUGUAAGGCUGGUCCUAUUCUGGGCAUGAUUCUGAGAUAAACCAAAUUUUAUGUGUAAUUGACCAGGGGUACUAUUGUCUCCCCUAGUGCCCCUGUCUCUGCACUGUUGCUAACUCAUGUCUCUUAACUUCUUUUCUUCCAGAAAGCAAUGAAGUCAGAUUCAGUACUAGUACAUGAUACAUUAGUUGAAAAAGCCCAAUCCCAAUUGCCAUCUAUAUAGAAAAAUAUAUUUUUAGGUGUCUACCUUGUUAUAAGUCAUGAGACUCCAGAUACAAUGGGAAGAAAAAGAUCACCAUUGUGGUGUUUUAUUGAGUAAGCUGUAGGAAAAAUCUUAAGUGUUUGCAAAAUAUUUCUUAAAAGAAUGAAGAAGUUAUAUACACUUGUGGGCAAUAAUUUCACACAGAGACAAGAGUAACCAGCACAGCAAGGUAUGGCUGGAGUUAAAAGCCUUUCAGAUUUUUUUCAAAGUAAGGGCACAGGAUCUGCCUUUUCACUUUUACUUGAUGGAGUCCAAAAACAAGGGAUAAAUGUUUCCAAUUAAUAAACUGCUGCAAUUUUGUUAUCUGCCUACCUUUGGAUAGGCAAAUUUUUUUGCUCAGGAUCUGUGGCAGCUGUAUAUAAGAAACAGAUCAUAAUUACCUUCUUCUUCCCCAAGUUAAGUCUACUUCAAGAGCAGCAAGUUUACAACCUUGGUAAUCUGAAUGUAACAUACCUCCCUUGCUGUAAGGAAACAGAAUCUUUACACUUCAGUAGAAAACUUCAAGAUACAAAACAAAGAUUCUCUUUAAUCUUUUUAAUCUUUCCACAUUGUGGAAAAACUGAAAUAGGCAGUCUGAACACCAAAACAUUAGAUUUCAGAAUACUGGCACAAAAACGUCCAUCUAUAUUUACAAUAUAUCAGAACUCUGUACCAUUUUAUAUUCUACAAUGACAGGCCUUAGAAUUCAAGAGGCUUACACAUGACUCUUUCCAUAUGACUGUUAGAUGUGCCAAACUGCUUCCAAAAGAGUACUUAGAAAUUGCUCUGAAAAUAACUCCAUCAUAAUCCUGUUUGGUCACUGCAGCUGCACUCUAUAUGCACCAAUUAGCAACUUAACCUAGGGAGAGAAAAAUUACAAAUAUAUCAGGUACAGAAGUAAAUAACUCCCUUUUCUGGAAGGAGAAUUAAAAAAACAUAGCCAAGACAUACUUCUCUUACUUGGCAAUAUUUCAACUUUGUGGUGUUUCUACUGUUAGGUAAUCAAUAUUUUAAUAAAAAGAAAUUCCAAGUACUUAUAAUUUUGAUUUUAGCCCAUUAUAUAUUAUUAGUUAAACUUUGUUUUACAAAGGAAGGUUAGCUGAAUGACCCAAUGUAAUGGUUGUUAAAAAUACCAAAGCCUCUGACAGACCUCUUUUCUAUGGAUGCAUUCUCAAUUUUUAACAUCAGUCUUGAAACACUUCCUUGUGUUUAACAGAGUCUAGAUUCAGACUAACAGUUGCACUAGAUUUGCUACUCCCUAGGGAGUACCUGUCUCUAGUACAUACUACUUUCCACAGAGACUAAGGAGCACAUUCUUGAAAAAAUUUUAACAAUAAUCUGUGUAACAACUUGAGUAGUAACACUAACUAGAAGGAAAAAAUUUUCACCUUAGCAGAGGGUGCUUCUGUCAACCUCAUAAAGAGUUUAUUGAUGCCUGCAACAGGACUGAACGAAUAAACAAAAUGACUAUCCUAAGGUAGAAAAAGACAAAGUCAGUAUUUCUUCAGAGAAAUCUCUACAUCUACAAAGUGUUACAACCUUGUUUUGUUGGAGACCAGAAACCUUUCACACAAAUGACUUAGAAUUUAUACAGUCAUACAAAUUUUUUGUUGGUUUGCAUAUAAAGGUUUGCUAUGAUUUAACUUUUCCUCAAUUUAUUAAAAAUAUGCAAAUGACAAACAGGCAAAUGAUUUAUCUAGCAAAACAAUACCAAGAUAAAUCUUUGGGCUUAGAAUGCAUUAAGAGUAUUAAAAAUAUUAACAGGUACUUCAGUAUAAGGAAAGAAUUUUAAAUGUGGCAGAAGUUUUACACACUAAUUUGAUUAUUACAUAUUUUUAUUUUACAAUGAACUUUUAAAAAUCAAAAUUACAAUUAUUUAAAAUUAUGUACUGAAACUAAGCAUAGUGAUUGUACUUAGGUAUUGAAAGCAUGAAUAAACUUAAUAAAAUAAAAUAAAUAAUGUUGGUUCUAAGACAUUAUGGCAAGCAUAAUUUAAGGCACAAGAUUUUUAUAUGUAAAAUGUAGGGUAAGUUUACUUUAUGAUUAUGGGUUAUUUCUUCCCUCCCAACCACUGUUUUAGUGAAUUUAAUGACUUUUAUUAAAACAGGAAUUUUUAAAAAGGCAUCAUAAAUGAUCUAUGCUUUUGAUUAGAAUUGAUUUUUCAGUACUGAACAACUACAGAAAAUCUUACCAGAAAAACAGGAAGUUGAAAUUUGUCAUUUAAAACUACAGCUUGUACACUGCAUGGUCCACAGAGCCGGGCAAUGACUUCUUUACCCACAAAGUUUGCGUGAAAAAUGAACAGCAGGAUACCAGAGCCUGAAUGAGGGAGAUGCAAACAUAAGUUUCCUUACAAAGAAACAAUCAUACCCAGGCUAGUGUGUUCCUAGAAGAUUGUGGAGGAAAGAGCAUUUAAUAAAAGGGGAAGGGGUUGCCUGAUAGAAGCCUGGGUAACAAAACACCCUUUAGUAAUCACUGAAGUAAUGAAUCGCUAUCGAUAGCUCAUGCAACUCACUUAACUAUGCUUUUCUAAAAGUUACUUUUGUUGUUUUUACAAAACUGGUACUUAAAUGCUGUUGCUGAAUAAAAUGUCCAUGGACGUUUUAUUCACUUCUACAGUGGUCAUCCUUGGGCAGGAUCAUGCAAUUUCCAUCUUCUACCAUUGUUUGGCCUCUUCUAGAUAAUUUUCUGGUUAAUUGUUUUGAACAAAUGUUUGUUAGUGUGAGACUUAAAGUGUUUAUUGGAUAUCAUUUUCUGAACAAUAGGCCAGUGAUCAGCAAAAGGAGACCAUUUGCUUUAUUUGUUCUUGUCCCAGGAAAAGGGGAGACUAGAACCCAUGUCUUUUAACCUCUCUUCUGUCAAGCUAUUCAGGCUUUGACACUGCUUUUGUUCUCUAACAAACGUCCCCGCCCAGAGCACUGCUAGAAAAGGCAAAAAUGUUGGGACAAUCUCAAGUCUCCUUCCUUUCAGCUCCACUAUGAAACACUCAAUGGGAUGCAAGGCUGCACGAGGCUGAAAGACUGAGGAUCCUGAUAUUCCUGGUCUAGACAGGACAGGUGGGGCUAACACCGGGACCAGAUGGGACCUGAGGGUUAGCACUGAGACCCUGCUACAAAGUCCCCUCAAGGUUAAAUGUAUAUUUCUACCAACCAAAACAAGUUAGUCUAAGGGAGAUGUUUCACUGGCCAGUUUUACUGACAAAUUACUAUUUAUAUAAUAAAGCUUCUAAGAGUUUUUAUGAGUUUAACAGCCAAACCCCCUCAACUGGUCAGCAUCAGUGUUUCUUAAGCUUUGUGUUUACAAAUCACCUGGAAGUCUUGCUAUAUGGUAUAAGGCGUGAUUCAGGAGGUCUGGGGUUGGCAUCUCAGAAUCUACAUUUCUAACAAGUGCCCAAAUGCUGCUGAUGUUGCUCAUCUGCAGAGCCCUGCUAUGAAAAGCAGAGUAGGAAAUGUAUCAGCAUCUCCUAUUUGAGGAUGACAAGGCAUCUCUGUGGGAUGAGACUGCAAAGAAUAGAAGUUUUGGUGGUUGCAGACCCAGAAAAAGCUGUGUAACUCCAAAUCUCUCCAGGCACAGUAUAUAAUACUUGAGUAAACGAGUUACUAGGCACAUGGAGUUGCAUGUGCACAGAUUAAACAAGUGGCCUGUCCCAGGUACUACUGCUUGCUUGCCUACCUGGCAUUGCUACGAGCCAGUUGGAGGGUGGGGAUUUUGUAACAAAACAGAGAAGGCAGAGCCCACCUUCCUGCCUUCAGUCAGAGGUGGAGUGUUUAUCUCCACUUGGUAUCUGCAGCAUGUGUCCCAGAGGUGGCAUGAUUUUGCCUUAAAAAGCUGUUAAGCAGAGGCUAGGAAGCAGAACUGAAGUUGCCUUCUCUUGCCCCAAAACGAACAUCCAUAAAUACUAUCCUUUCCUCACUGUCACUUGAUUUUUAGUGAGUUUUGACAAAAGUGCUUUAUGAACUGCCUCAAAAAUCACUUGGGUGUUGGCUCUGAGGGUCUCUUGGUGGUAACUAUCUAAAUCAUUAUACCUAAUGGAAUAUCCUUAAGGUUUUGUUCAAAGAAAGGGUUCUGACUAAAUAUCAGUUAAUAUUUACAGUGUUACAUUUAAAGCAGAGAGAAAGCAGAUUUACCUUCUGGUAUGUUCUGUGGUGGUUUAUAAUUGAAAUCUGUUGAAAAAUCUGGCCCCUCACAGAGACGAUGACAAGCUAUCGGAAAAACUGGUUCUAGCAGAGUAAGACGCUCUUCGAAGUACUCCUUUAUCGUCUGUUCUGUUACUCUUGAAAGUCUUUAAUAUAAAUUAGUAAAAGUUGGGAAUAUUAAUGGAGAAAAUAACCAUGAGCCAUAAAUUUAUUAUACUACUGUAAGAUCUAACCUGAACAAACAUCUUAUAAAAACUGCAGCCCAGCCCUCAUCCUGCUCACCUGAUUUUUUUUAAAUCUUCAUUUUAUUGAGAUAUAUUCACAUACCACGCAGUCAUACAAAUCGUACAUUCGAUUGUUCACAGUACUAUUACAGUUGUACAUUCAUCACCUAAAUC